rnacentral:piRNA from 1 species
UGCUCACCACACCCUCAUCACACUUUC